AGCUCGUAGGCCGGUUUGUCGCGUCUGCCGUGAAAGUCCCGGGGCUCAACUCCGGAUCUGCGGUGGGUACGGGCAGACUAGAGUGAUGUAGGGGAGACUGGAAUUCCUGGUGUAGCGGUGAAAUGCGCAGAUAUCAGGAGGAACACCGAUGGCGAAGGCAGGUCUCUGGGCAUUAACUGACGCUGAGGAGCGAAAGCAUGGGGAGCGAACAGGAUUAGAUACCCUGGUAGUCCAUGCCGUAAACGUUGGGCACUAGGUGUGGGGGACAUUCCACGUUUUCCGCGCCGUAGCUAACGCAUUAAGUGCCCCGCCUGGGGAGUACGGCCGCAAGGCUAAAACUCAAAGGAAUUGACGGGGGCCCGCACAAGCGGCGGAGCAUGCGGAUUAAUUCGAUGCAACGCGAAGAACCUUACCAAGGCUUGACAUGAACCGGUAAUACCUGGAGACAGGUGCCCCGCUUGCGGUCGGUUUACAGGUGGUGCAUGGUUGUCGUCAGCUCGUGUCGUGAGAUGUUGGGUUAAGUCCCGCAACGAGCGCAACCCUCGUUCUAUGUUGCCAGCACGUGAUGGUGGGGACUCAUAGGAGACUGCCGGGGUCAACUCGGAGGAAGGUGGGGACGACGUCAAAUCAUCAUGCCCCUUAUGUCUUGGGCUUCACGCAUGCUACAAUGGCCGGUACAAAGGGUUGCGAUACUGUGAGGUGGAGCUAAUCCCAAAAAGCCGGUCUCAGUUCGGAUUGGGGUCUGCAACUCGACCCCAUGAAGUCGGAGUCGCUAGUAAUCGCAGAUCAGCAACGCUGCGGUGAAUACGUUCCCGGGCCUUGUACACACCGCCCGUCAAGUCACGAAAGUUGGUAACACCCGAAGCCGGUGGCCUAACCCCUUGUGGGAGGGAGCUGUCGAAGGUGGGACUGGCGAUUGGACUAAGUCGAAUCAAGAGCGCCCCGG
rnacentral:rRNA from 1 species